rnacentral:lncRNA from 1 species
CUCCCCGCCUGCGGCUGCCGGGGAGCGCGUUUGUUCCGGGCGGGAUGGUGUGGCCUCUCUGAGCUACCCUAUCCUGGAGGGGCCUGAGAAGGUUCCUGCCCUGCACAUUGAUGAGAAGGGCUUCCUGGUGUCAGGGUCUAUGAUGGGGACGUCCACAAUUGAAGUGACUGCACAAGAGCCUUUUGGGACCAACCAAACCAUCAUUGUUGGUAUAAAGGUGAGUGCUCCCAGGCCCAGAGAGAAGUCAUCACUUGCACCCAGAGUCUCUCCUGAGCUGCCAGGAGCAGUUCCAGCUGGCCGUCUCCGAAUUCCCAGCACGUGAUGUUCUCACGGUGGAGCCAGGCUUCGAUGCUGCUCUGGGUAAGUUUGCCAGGAUUGGAAAGUGAAAUGGACUUGCAGAGAGUCCCUGCCCUGUGGACAUCUCGGGUCUGCUGCGCGUUCAGCUCCCAGCAGCCACCAGUC